rnacentral:lncRNA from 1 species
AAGAAAAGAUGCUGACAUUCAAAACUUGGAAUCUAUUUCUCUUUUUUUCUUUAAGGAAAAAAGAAGACUGAGAUAAACUUCUAUGUAAAGAAAACACACCGUGUGUAAUAUAAUGGAAAUGAUAGCAACAGCCUGAAAUGAAAUGUGAAAAAAAUUAAAUCAUCCAGCUGAAAGUGCCUUAUUAUUUUAUAUUAUACCUUCUCAUUCUGAAUAACUACUGUUAGAGAAUAGGAAUCAUUGAUGGUUAAUAAUAGAAAUAACCACAGUCAGAGGCCAAAUCAAGAAGAAAAGAUAUGCACUUUGAAAAAAAAGAAAAACCUCUCUCAAGUGUUUUGAAUUUCCAUCUACUCUUGGAUGGAAGCAAUAUGAACAGUGUUGGAUCUGGAGUCAGGAAAAUCUAG